AGAGUUUGAUCCUGGCUCAGGAUGAACGCUGGCGGCGUGCUUAACACAUGCAAGUCGAGCGAAGCACAUAAGUUCGAUUCUUCGGAUGAAGACUUUUGUGACUGAGCGGCGGACGGGUGAGUAACGCGUGGGUAACCUGCCUCAUACAGGGGGAUAACAGCUAGAAAUGGCUGCUAAUACCGCAUAAGACCACAGUACUGCAUGGUACAGUGGUAAAAACUCCGGUGGUAUGAGAUGGACCCGCGUCUGAUUAGGUAGUUGGUGAGGUAACGGCCCACCAAGGCGACGAUCGGUAGCCGACCUGAGAGGGUGAUCGGCCACAUUGGAACUGAGACACGGUCCAAACUCCUACGGGAGGCAGCAGUGGGGAAUAUUGGGCAAUGGGCGAAAGCCUGACCCAGCAACGCCGCGUGAGUGAAGAAGGCUUUCGGGUUGUAAAGCUCUGUUGUUGAGGACGAAGGAAGUGACGGUACUCAACAAGGAAGCCCCGGCUAACUACGUGCCAGCAGCCGCGGUAAUACGUAGGGGGCGAGCGUUGUCCGGAAUGACUGGGCGUAAAGGGCGUGUAGGCGGCCGAUUAAGUAUGGAGUGAAAGUCCUGCUUUCAAGGUGGGAAUUGCUUUGUAGACUGGUUGGCUUGAGUGCGGAAGAGGUAAGUGGAAUUCCCAGUGUAGCGGUGAAAUGCGUAGAGAUUGGGAGGAACACCAGUGGCGAAGGCGACUUACUGGGCCGUAACUGACGCUGAGGCGCGAAAGCGUGGGGAGCGAACAGGAUUAGAUACCCUGGUAGUCCACGCUGUAAACGAUGAAUGCUAGGUGUUGCGGGUAUCGACCCCUGCAGUGCCGGAGUAAACGCAAUAAGCAUUCCGCCUGGGGAGUACGGCCGCAAG
rnacentral:rRNA from 1 species